rnacentral:rRNA from 1 species
AAAUUGAAGAGUUUGAUCAUGGCUCAGAUUGAACGCUGGCGGCAGGCCUAACACAUGCAAGUCGAACGGUAACAGGAAGCAGCUUGCUGCUUUGCUGACGAGUGGCGGACGGGUGAGUAAUGUCUGGGAAACUGCCUGAUGGAGAGGGAUAACUACUGGAAACGGUGGCUAAUACCGCAUAACGUCGCAAGACCAAAGAGGGGGACCUUCGGCCUCUUGCCAUCAGAUGUGCCCAGAUGGGAUUAGCUUGUUGGUGAGGUAACGGCUCACCAAGGCGACGAUCCCUAGCUGGUCUGAGAGGAUGACCAGCCACACUGGAACUGAGACACGGUCCAGACUCCUACGGGAGGCAGCAGUGGGGAAUAUUGCACAAUGGGCGCAAGCCUGAUGCAGCCAUGCCGCGUGUAUGAAGAAGGCCUUCGGGUUGUAAAGUACUUUCAGCGGGGAGGAAGGUGUUGUGGUUAAUAACC